UACAGAGGGUGCAAGCGUUGUUCGGAAUUACUGGGCGUAAAGGGCGCGUAGGCGGCCUUCUAAGUCGAACGUGAAAUCCCCGGGCUCAACCCGGGAACUGCGUCCGAUACUGGAAGGCUUGAAUCCGGGAGAGGGAUGCGGAAUUCCAGGUGUAGCGGUGAAAUGCGUAGAUAUCUGGAGGAACACCGGUGGCGAAGGCGGCAUCCUGGACCGGCAUUGACGCUGAGGCGCGAAAGCUAGGGGAGCAAACGGG
rnacentral:rRNA from 1 species